ACCCAUAACACAAAUAUUUCCCCAAUUUUUGAUCUUUUGGAUACCACUCUCAUGAUUUUGCCAUAUCUGUGUUAACAUCUAUACUAUUUACUUAAUUUAAAAAUUUACUCCCUCCUUUUUAUCACCCUUAAUCUUAUCCUAAGCAAUAAAUCUGAGUAAACAGUUUUCUAAUGCUAGUCAUAUACAUGUAUGUGUGUGUGUCUGUGUCUGUGUAUACCCAUAAGAUAAAAUAAAUAUGUAACUGUUAUCAUAAAAAUCUUAGUUUAUGUACCACCUAAAAUCACCUCACAUAUAAAAAAUGGUAUGCAUGCCAUUCUUUGGACACAGUGCCCUACUCUAUACUAUUUGCAUAUGUAGCUGAGUUAUCAUAAUUGCAUGUAAAUUUGGUGGUGGAUAUAUCGAAUUAAAACUUGGGUCAUUAUGUGCUAUCUCUUUUUACCUUCUCCAGAAGAAUAAAUUAAUUUAUGGAGUAAUGAGGACCAUCUGAAGAAGUGGCUAUGGCCCAGACAUAAGAGAAAGUGAGAGCUGACUGGUAGAGCAAUCACCAGGGGAAGAAAUAUUUUAGUAAGAAGAAAAUUUGGAUUAAGGAGAGAACAGAUUUCACUAGUAAGCAGUUAAGGGAAGGACGUUUGGAGGAAAACACCGAGAAAAUCAGUAGUAUUGAGGGGACGUGGCGUUAUGUACCAGUGAUUGUAAUGUGUAGAUAGGUAAAGCAAUGCAAGCUUCUUUCACUCCAGUGUUGUCAUAUAACUCACUUUGAGGAAAUGUGUGAAAUCAGAGUCACCAGUGUUUCUGACACUACUGCCUCUCUACUUGAGAGAUUCCCGGGCCCUCAGGUGCUGGCAACAAGAGCAAAGAGUAAGCGGUUAGCUAGCUGCCUGGCUGUUCUAAGGGCUAAGACAACAGUUUGUAUGUGUGAGCAGGCCUGACUUGUUAUUAUCUUUGCCUGUCUGGGAUAAGGCAAUGAUUAUAGAUAUUAAUGAGGAGUGUUUGCUUGAGCCCUGGUGGACUGUACUCAGCGUAAACAUGAGUUGUUGCUGCUGUUGUUUUCAAUUUGUACCAUUAACAGCAAACAUUUAAGAAGAAACUGUAAGAUUAAGGAUGAAACCAGAAGGCUUGUGGUGAAACCCAAUAAGGUAGUAUCCCCAUUUUGUUCUAAUUGGUUUUAACUAGCAAUCAAAGAGGCCAGAUGGCCUCCCCUGGGAAGGAGAGUACUACAUUUUAGGGAAAUAUAUGCUUGUCCUUCUUCAUGAAUAUUCGUUCUCUUGUUCUUGCCAACAGCAUCAUUUUUCAUUUUAUUUCUUCAAUAACAACUCAGAUGUCAUUUGCAGUUUUUAAAGAAUAUGACAUUGGUAUUAAAAUAUCAAUCUGUCAAAUGUUUUUACAUUCAGGUGCUAGCUCUGUUAACCUGCACUUUGGUGUAUUUUUAUAACUUGGGGGAAAUAUCCCUCUUUGGGAUAUGAUUUCAGGACAAUUUAGAAACAAACUACAGAAAUUGACAGUAAGAUACUAAGUUGAUUUUUGAAAUCUGGAGGCAUUUCCAGCAAAGAAAUGAAGUAAGAGCAGAUGAAUUAAAUGUGAGAUGUGGAGCCAGUCAACAGGAUAGGAUUACGGGAGUCUAGAGAAUUGGGAGAGAAAGGCAGAGUAGUUUGUAGAAUAAGAAUUACACCCAAACUGUCAGAUUGAGUUGUAAGUUUCAAUAGGCAGUUCUGUUCUUAUGCUCAAAAAUGAGAUUAAUCUUUCCAUCUUGUAGGGUCUUCUCUAUUUUUUUCCACUUGGUUUGUGGUAAAGGCUAAUUUUGGCACUAUGCCAUCAUCCAUUCUAUAUGUUCCUUCUAGUUUUUGAAAGUUUUUACUAUUGCACGUACUGCAUUCCUUUUAGAACAGCUCGGAUGAGAUUUACUACUAUUUACAUGCCUAAGUCAUAAAUACCAGCCUCAAGAGAACAUGCAUCAUAUUGAUUAUCAAUGUAAAACAUUCUUUAAACAUCACCUCUUUGCAAGGCACCAAAUAGGACUACAGAUAGGACCACAAAAGAACUACAGUCCCUGGCUCUUAGCACUUACAAUCAAGCUGAACAGAAAAGGAAUCAAUUUCUGAAGAAACAACUAGUAAACACACUAAAAUAUAGUCUGUACUUUAAAAUUUCAGGUAGCCAUAUCAUAACUUAACGAAAUUAUUUCUCAGAGUUUCAGAGUUGUACCUUUGGCAUUUACAGACUUAGCCUGAAGUGGCUACCCCUGUUCAAAAUGAUCUUUGGAAACCCUCUUUGAUAUUGCCUUUAGAACCUGUGAUCCAUUCUUUGGAAUUUCCUCAGGGGCCAAAAACAUUUUUACUGAAAAGGUGAAAAUUGAUUUCAGGAAACAGUUAAGAGUCAUUUGGAGCCAAGGGUGGUAAAUAAGAAAGCCAAACAAGUGAAGUAAUGCCACUUUGGGGUUGAAUUGUGGUGUGCCUGCAAAUCAAUAAGACUGUUUUUCUUGGAUGGUUUGGAAAAUAAUUUUGAAUGCAAUUUAUCUAUACAAGUUCCCAAGUUUUUUUUUCCCUCAAUGUUACUGUCUUUGGAAUAGGUGGACAGCUUCCAAGGUAUCAAUAAGCACUUCUCAAUCUGGAUACUGUGUCUUUUAGAGAAUCCAGAGAGAGAAAGAGAAUUUCCCUACCACAGUGUCAUAAGUGGUAGUUUGAUCUCCAGACCAGAUAACAAAAGCCUAAAAAAAGCAGAGCCGAAGAGAGUAAUACAGCUCUUUUAACCACAUCUAGGCAGGAUUUUAAAGCCUUUUUUCUCUGGGAAAAUUCAAUUGGUAUUCAAGUUCUCCCACAAUUCAUGCAGCAGAAUCUAGGGUACCUUUGUUUCGGUGAUGACCCAGCUAGUACAGCUACCAUUAAUUUGUUCUCUCAGAGUUUAUAAAACAGUAAUUUCUCAAGUGUUUUUGAGAUGGUUCCCUCCUUUUCAACCCCUCCUAGUUCUUGCUCUAUCAGUUAUCCUCUCUUGUGUUUUCUCCAUAGACUUAAUUUCUUUUCUAUUGAAACAAACAGGCUUCCAUCCAACUUGGUAUCCCCCCACUAGACUUCAUAUCCUCUUUCUCAUUUCCGUGUUGCCCAACCCUUUCAAGAAAAUAACCCAUUACUGUCUCCAGUUCCUCACUGCCUAUAUGAUGCUUAGUUUGCUACAAUCUGAACUUCUGUCCCCAGAAUCCAGAUUAGUAAAUUGGUGAUUAGAAAACUUCCUGAAAGAUCCAUUUAAAUUGGUGUGGACAGAAGCCUGAUUGCAGGGUAUUAAAUAUUAUGUGGGCAGUGCAACCUUGAAGGCACAGAUCCCCACAACUUCUAAUGAAAUUUAGCAAUGAAAAAGAGGGGCAUCAGGUGGGAGCUGAGGUAGGGUGGCAUGUGGGUGGAGUGUGAGGAUGGGGAGGAAGGCUCAAGCAAUGGUUUUUGUUUAGAUAGGAAAGACCUAUAUAAGACUAUAGCUAUAUGGAAAAGAGCCAAAGGAGAAGGAGAAGUUAGAAAUGUUAAAGAGAUUUAUUCUAAAUGGAGGGCCUGAGCUUAACAAAAAGGGAUACCUCUUUCUGUGGACUGAAGGGAAAGAUAAGAGGAUAAGCAUGGCUUAAAUGUCAAUUGGGAAGUGUUUUUGUUCCCAAAAGUACUCUUCUUGGUUUAACUUAAGUACUAUUAUUUGCAAAAUCUUCCAAAGCCCUUUAAGGCUUGUCUUUAACUAGAUCAGUGUAACUUGGCCCUUGACUGGACCCCAAUAUGGGACUUUUCAUAGUUACUUGACUUAAAGGUUACUUAGUUAAAGGUUCCUCACACCAAGAUGAUAUAGGUGGAACUGGUAUGGGCCAUCUGAUCAUCUUAUUUUUAAUCUACAUAUUGAACCAGCUGUGCUUUCAAUUUCCAUUCCUGGUUAACAUUUUGCAUAAUUUCUAUUGCAAAGAUAUCUAAUAUGGUUCCAGAAAGUAACCAACAUAGGAGUGAAGCUAGGAUCACUAAAAUAUUUGGUCUUGGCUGUGCACUUCUGCAUCAAAGCCUAUAGAGUAAUCUUUAUCCCAUUAUUAUAAUUUAGAUUUGGGUGUAAAGAUCCCUAAGUGCUUCUAUGCGCCAUGUUUUCUGUGUUCUCCACAAAAGAUAUGCUUUGCAAACAUCAAAGGCAGCAAUGAUGAAUGACAUGCACCUAAUGCAUAAAAUCCCACUCCCACAUCUAUUUGAAGGCAGCCUGCUUUUCUUUCAUGAACAUACACUAUAUCAAUCUGGACAAUUCAGGCUGGAAACAACCACAUGACAGUCCAAAGUAAUUCAUGUAAAAGCAGAAGCAUUUUGCCUAAAUCACCUAGGUAAUGGUAGAUGUGUAAAGAGGGUGCUAGGGACAUUUUGUUUGGGUGAAAGACAAUUAGAUCAUCCAAUUUUAUUGACUCUAUUAGUGUCAUUAGAAAUAUGAUGUUCUUAAUUCUCAAAGAUGAUUAAACAUCCUUUUCUUUUAUCGGUGAGAGGCCAGCCUUCAGAUUUCAACUUCCUGGAAAGGUAGCUGAACUCUAGAGCUCAGAGGAAAUGUUUAGAUGAAGAAAAUAACAGAGAUAAUAAUUGUAGCUUCUAGAAAAUAGUGCAAAAUGGGUUGCUUCUUGUGAUGUCAUAAUAAUGUAGAUGUAAGCCAACAUUUUGUUAUGUAAAACAGUGUAAGAACCACAAAUAUGCUAUCUAGAGCCAAAUUCUUUCAAAACUUAUGUGUUUCAAGGGUGAAAGGCUGAACCAAAACAACAAAAUAACAGUAACUUCGUUGAUUCAUUUUUUUUUUUUACAUAUUGCUUCUAUUACCCCAGGGCUGUUGUCUAAGUGAAGCUUUCUACUCUAAUCAACACUGUGAAUAUCUGAGAGUGUAAGUCUGAUGUUUGGUAUAAAAUGUAAAAUUGUGAAAUACAAAUAUACUUGAAUUUCUAACAUCUCCACAAGACUUUUCCAGACUUUAAAACUCGAUGUAUCCAAAAAGAAUCUGGCAACCUGCCACUCCACCCCCUACCUCUUUCCACCCACUGAUUUUACCUUGUUAUACUAAGUUUGGAGGAUUUCCAGUUCUUUUCUCAGAGAAGAAUUUUUCUUUAUCGAAGCUUUUACUAAGACUCCUUUUCCUGGAGUUCCGAUUGUGCCGCAGCAGAAACGAAUCCCACUAGGAAACAUGAGGUUGUGGGUUCAAUCCCUGGCCUUGCUCAGUGGGUUAAGGAUCCGGCGUUACCAUGCGCUGUGAUGUAGAUGGCAGAUGCGGCUCGGAUCCUGCAUUGCUGUGGUUGUGGUAUAGGUCAGCAGCUACAACUCCAAUUUGACCCCCGGCCUGGGAACUUCCAUAUGCCACAGUU
rnacentral:lncRNA from 1 species